AAAUUGAAGAGUUUGAUCAUGGCUCAGAUUGAACGCUGGCGGCAGGCCUAACACAUGCAAGUCGAACGGUAGCACAGGGGAGCUUGCUCCCUGGGUGACGAGUGGCGGACGGGUGAGUAAUGUCUGGGAAACUGCCUGAUGGAGGGGGAUAACUACUGGAAACGGUAGCUAAUACCGCAUAAUGUCGCAAGACCAAAGCGGGGGACCUUCGGGCCUCGCACCAUCGGAUGUGCCCAGAUGGGAUUAGCUAGUAGGUGGGGUAAUGGCUCACCUAGGCGACGAUCCCUAGCUGGUCUGAGAGGAUGACCAGCCACACUGGAACUGAGACACGGUCCAGACUCCUACGGGAGGCAGCAGUGGGGAAUAUUGCACAAUGGGCG
rnacentral:rRNA from 1 species